GUGGUUUUUGAUGAAGCUGACAGUCUAUUUGGCAUGGGCUUUGCUGAGCAAUUGCACAAAAUCCUAACCCAGUUAAGUGAGAAUCGGCAGACCUUGCUGUUCAGUGCAACUUUGCCAAGUGCCCUUGCUGAGUUUGCUAAGGCUGGUCUACGAGAUCCUCAGCUUGUUCGACUUGAUCUGGAAACUAAAAUUAGCCCUGAUUUGAAGCUGAAGUUCUUCAACUUACGACAGGAGGAAAAACAUGCAGCAUUGCUGUAUUUGGUAAGGGAACAUAUUAGUUCUGAGCAGCAGACAUUGAUAUUUGUUUCAACGAAACAUCAUGUGGAGUUCCUUAAUAUCUUGUUUCGAGAAGAGGGCAUUGAGCCUUCUCUAUGCUAUGGUGAUAUGGAUCAAGAUGCUCGCAAGAUUCAUAUAUCAAGGUUUAGAGCGCAAAAAACUAUGCUGU
rnacentral:misc_RNA from 1 species